rnacentral:rRNA from 1 species
GAUGAACGCUGGCGGCGUGCCUAAUACAUGCAAGUCGAGCGAACAGACGAGGAGCUUGCUCCUCUGACGUUAGCGGCGGACGGGUGAGUAACACGUGGAUAACCUACAUAUAAGACUGGGAUAACUUCGGGAAACCGGAGCUAAUACCGGAUAAUAUAUUGAACCGCAUGGUUAAAUAGUGAAAGACGGUUUUGCUGUCACUUAUAGAUGGAACCGCGCCGCAUUAGCUAGUUGGUAAGGUAACGGCUUACCAAGGCGACGAUGCCUAGCCGACCUGAGAGAGUGUUCGGCCACACUGUAGCUGAGACACGGUCCAGACUCCUACGGGAGGCAGCAGUAGGGAAUCUUCCGCAAUGGGCGAAAGCCUUACGGAGCAACGCCGCUUGAUUGAUGAAGGUCUUCGGAUCGUAAAACUCUGUUAUUAGGGAAGAACAAAUGUGUAAGUAACUAUGCACGUCUUGACGGUACCUAAUCAGAAAGCCACGGCUAACUACGUG